GUGUCAGCAGCCGCGGUAAUACGGGGGGUGCAAGCGUUGUUCGGAAUUAUUGGGCGUAAAGAGCGUGUAGGCGGCCUGAUGUGUCAGAUGUGAAAGCCCUGGGCUUAACCCAGGAAGUGCAUUUGAAACUGUCAGGCUUGAGUAGGGGAGAGGGAAGUGGAAUUCCUGGUGUAGAGGUGAAAUUCGUAGAUAUCAGGAGGAACACCGGUGGCGAAGGCGACUUCCUGGCCCUAUACUGACGCUGAGACGCGAGAGCGUGGGUAGCAAACAGGAUUAGAAACCCCCGUAGUCC
rnacentral:rRNA from 1 species